ACGCGCGAAACCUUACCAGGUCUUGACAUCCCGCUGACCGGUCUGGAGACAGAUCUUCCCCUUCGGGGGCAGCGGUGACAGGUGGUGCAUGGUUGUCGUCAGCUCGUGUCGUGAGAUGUUGGGUUAAGUCCCGCAACGAGCGCAACCCUUGAUCUUAGUUGCCAGCAUUCAGUUGGGCACUCUAAGGUGACUGCCGGUGACAAACCGGAGGAAGGUGGGGAUGACGUCAAAUCAUCAUGCCCCUUAUGACCUGGGCUACACACGUGCUACAAUGGACGGUACAAACGGUUGCCAACCCGCGAGGGGGAGCUAAUCCGAUAAAACCGUUCUCAGUUCGGAUUGUAGGCUGCAACUCGCCUACAUGAAGCCGGAAUCGCUAGUAAUCGCGGAUCAGCAUGUCGCGGUGAAUACGUUCCCGGGCCUUGUACUCACCGCCCGU
rnacentral:rRNA from 1 species